rnacentral:lncRNA from 1 species
AUGUGGAGAAUUCCAUCCUCAUCUGGGCCUACAGUACUGUCCAAGGGAACUCAUCCAAGAGGCUCUCAGCAGCUCGGGGGAAAUUACCAUAAAUUAAUUACUAUGGUUUUUCCAGUGGUCAUGUAUGGAUGUGAGAGUUGGACUGUGAAGAAAGCUGAGUGCCAAAGAAUUGAUGCUUUUGAACUGUGGUGUUGGAGAAGACUCUUGAGAGUCCCUUGGACUGCAAGGAGAUCCAACCAGUCCAUUCUAAAGGAGAUCAGUCUUGGGUGUUCAUUGGAAGGACUGAUGCUAAAGCUCAAACUCCAGUACUUUGGCCACCUCAUGUGAAGAGUUGACUCAUUGGAAAAGACCCUGAUGCUGGGAGGGAUUGGGGGCAGGAGGAGAAGGGAACGACAGAGGAUGAGAAGGCUGGAUGGCAUCACCGACUCGAUGGAUGUGAGUUUGAGUAAAC